GUCCCCUCCUGGAUUUUAGAUGGAGUGGAUAAUUAGAAGGCAGACCUCUGGAAAUUGCCCUCAAGUUUCUUCAUCAAUUGCAGAAAUGUUUUAUAUGCUGAUUUUGAAAUCUUUGUGGAGAUUCUGACUUUCAUUAAUGCCUUCGGUUUUUGUUUGCAUGCGAUUGUGUCAUCUCAAUGGGAUUCUCAGCACUUGGCUCUUCAUUAUUCUUAAUUUUGAGCAGAAACCAUAUUCAUUGUUCUUCCUUCACUAGUUUCCAAGUUGAUGUUGGUGGACUAAAACUAAAAGCCAUAUCCAAAUACAAAUUCUCUGCUUACGUGCUACUUGCUGCUGUGAGAAAGAAAAAAGGGUUAGUGAACUGAUUCACGAGGAAGCAGAGUUUUGUAACUGUGAAUUGUGGAUUGCUUGGGGUUCAACUGAGUUUGUGGCCUGAAGUCAACAGUAAACAUGUAUGAUUGUACAAUUUCAGGCUCAUCAUAUGAAGAUCGAUUUUACAGGUGCAUGAAACCUACCGAUGGUUGUUUUUAGAACUUCAUCAACAUGUGUAGUGUGGCGAAAUAGAAUCGUUAAUAAUGAAGUUUUGUAUUUACGAGAGUUUUCUUCUCUUUAUAUCGAAAAUUGCUUCCUAGUUUUGAUCUUUGAAGUAUUACUUCUCCUCACUAUGUAGGCUUACAGCAACAUUUGGGUGUGAAUAUUCUGGAGUUGGAAUUGAUUUAUCUUUUGGCUGGCCGAAUA